rnacentral:tRNA from 1 species
GCCUGGGUGGCUUAGUCGGUUAAGCGUGUGACUUCGGCUCAGGUCGUGAUCUCCUGGUCCGUGGGUUCAAGCCCCACGUCGGGUU